AUGCUCGUCGCCAACACGUGCACCACCGUAGACGUGGUAUGGCAAGACGGCACACGGCAACAAGGCAGACCUUCAGCGACCAUCGUCCCCUUUGGGAUCUGGAAUGAGCAAGAGUUCUUCCCCGGACAGCAUGUUGUCGCCAACGUUCUUCCUGUUAAUGCAGCCGUUGACGCUACUGUUGAUGUGACAACUACUAGUGUCAACAACGACAUUGCCGCAUCUGGAACUGGACCAGCGGAGCGUGUCGGCAUCGUCAAGAGCAUGCAACACGAGGACCAGACGGUUUGUGUAUCAUGGUUCAAGACGCAAGGGCAUCCUGAUGAGGCUAUGGAGGUCGAGUGCGAUGAUACAGUCAGUGCUUAUGACCUAAGAUUGGACUCUAGCCACUCUGCUUACUAUGGUGAUAUUGUCAUUCGUAUCGUACCAUCAGUAUCAACAGAUGACGGUGAAAGUGCACCCUUGUCACAGGGAAACAAGAAGAAAAAUGUCGUUCCCGCCGAUCUUUCAUGGGUGGGGCGGGUAGUUGAACUUCCUAAUGGGCACGUCCAAGUCAAGUGGGGUGAUGGUAGCAUGUCAACGGUAUCACCUCAUGAGAUCGUUGUCAUCAAAGAUGAGCACUACAUGGAGCUAUGGCUUGAAAUGGGUGAUUGGGUAGAGGACAAUGGCAUCGAUGACGCACCCGAAGAACCGGUUGCUGCCAACACGGACAUUGAUCUUCAGAAUCUAGAUAACGAUGUCGAAAGCGUCAGCCCGCCAAUGUCAAGGACAAGACUUUUAGGUUUGUCAUUCCGGUCUUUGCUCCAAUUGACCAGCGACAUAUGGUGGCUGUAG
rnacentral:rRNA from 1 species